GACGAACGCUGGCGGCGUGCCUAAUACAUGCAAGUUGAGCGAUGAAGAUUGGUGCUUGCACCAAUUUGAAGAGCAGCGAACGGGUGAGUAACGCGUGGGGAAUCUGCCUUUGAGCGGGGGACAACAUUUGGAAACGAAUGCUAAUACCGCAUAAUAACUUUAAACAUAAGUUUUAAGUUUGAAAGAUGCAAUUGCAUCACUCAAAGAUGAACCCGCGUUGUAUUAGCUAGUUGGUGAGGUAAAGGCUCACCAAGGCGAUGAUACAUAGCCGACCUGAGAGGGUGAUCGGCCACAUUGGGACUGAGACACGGCCCAAACUCCUACGGGAGGCAGCAGUAGGGAAUCUUCGGCAAUGGACGAAAGUCUGACCGAGCAACGCCGCAUGAGUGAAGAAGGUUUUCGGAUCGUAAAACUCUGUUGGUAGAGAAGAACGUUGGUGAGAGUGGAAAGCUCAUCAAGUGACGGUAACUACCCAGAAAGGGACGGCUAACUACGUG
rnacentral:rRNA from 1 species